AUGAACAUUGCUCUCCUGACCCGCUGGCUUUGGCGCAUCGCCAAUGGGGAAGGAGGCCUCUGGCUCACCAUUAUCCGUAAUAAGUACCUUAGGGGCCAACCCCUUGCCUUCUACCAGCGAUCGGGUGGCUCCCAGUUUUGGCAGUCGGUGAUCCAGCUCCUGCCCGUCCUCCGCAUUGGCACGUCCAUCUCAGUUUGCUACGUGUCUUCAACCCUGUUCUGGUUUGACCGGUGGUUAGGGGACUCCUCCCUCGUGGUGCGAUUCCCUGACCUAUUCGCUAUUGCGGUUGACCCUCGGGUCUCUGUCGAGACGACCCUUAUUGACUUAGGGCGCCUCGCUUUCCGGCGCCCCUUCGCCCCCCUUGAGGUGGCUGCUUGGGACUCCCUCCUCCAGGACAUCACCCUUCUGCCGAUGGACGUUGAGGAGACCCCGGAUUCCCUCUCCUGGCGCCUUGAGCCAUUGGGCCGCUUCUCCACGAAGUCCCUGUACGCCGCCAUUGCUCCCUCGGCGGCCCCGGAGCCUUUUAGCCUGGUCUGGGACAUCCGCCUGCCUCUGAAGAUCAGGAUUUUCCUGUGGCAAUCGAUUCGUGGACGCCUCCCCUUUAGGGUUGAAGUCCUCAAGCGUAACGGACCGGGCGAUGGGAUGUGCCCCAUUUGUGGCACGAUUGAAAGAUGCCAACCACAUCUUCUUCUCGUGCACCACUGCCCAGUUCCUCUGGGCUUUCUUCCGCGAGGUGGUCGGUGGACAGUGGUGCAACACCAACUUCCCCGACCUACUUGCGGAGCUGAACGCUUCCCCCCCCUCGCUACCACCAUAUUAGAUGGCUGUGCGUGGGGGUCCUCUCCUGGACGCUAUGGACCGUCCGUAAUAAGUUUGUUAUUCAGAAAGUGCCUCUCCGACGUGCGACUGACGCGAUCUUCAAAAUGUGUGGCUACUUGCAGCUUUGGCGGCCGCUUAGCCGCCCCCAAGACUGGGACGUCAUCACCACCCUCCUCGCCGACCUUCGCUCAUGGCUCUCCGCGUGGCGCCCCUGCUACCGCCUCCUCCCCCAGAACCUGA
rnacentral:rRNA from 1 species